rnacentral:rRNA from 1 species
CAGUAGCCGCGGUAAUACGAAGGGUGCAAGCGUUAAUCGGAAUUACUGGGCGUAAAGCGUGCGUAGGCGGUGAGUUAAGUCUGCUGUGAAAUCCCCGGGCUCAGCCUGGGAAUGGCAGUGGAUACUGGCUCGCUAGAGUGUGUCAGAGGGGGGUAGAAUUCCGCAUGUAGCAGUGAAAUGCGUAGAUAUGCGGAGGAACACCGAUGGCGAAGGCAGCCCCCUGGGCCAACACUGACGCUCAUGCACGAAAGCGUGGGGAGCAAACAGGAUUAGAUACCCCGGUAGUCCCUGUCUCUUAUAA